rnacentral:rRNA from 1 species
AUGACCAAGUCCGGCGAAGUCAUCGGCGAGAUCGGGGUCCUGUGCUACAGGCCUCAGCUCUUCACGGCCCGGACAAAGUCCCUGUGCCAGCUCCUGCGCCUGGACCGCGCCAACUUUCUCAAGGUCGUCCAGUCUAAUGUUGGGGAUGCCACCAUAAUCAUGAACAACCUCAUCCAGGUCAGCUUUCAGUAUAUAUGCUCCCUCCCAACAUGA